UAAUUGUUUAAAAAUACUUUUAAGUCUUUAAAAAUUCUGAAUUUUUUUCUCCAAGGUCCUUUGACCUUAUUUGACCUAUGAUAAAUCUCAUGGCCAUUUCUUUGGUGUUUUGAUGAGGUUUUUUAAAAAUUCUGAAUUUUUUUCUCCAAGGUCCUUUGACCUUAUUUGACCUAUGAUAAAUCUCAUGGCCAUUUCUUUGGUGUUUUGAUG
rnacentral:lncRNA from 1 species